rnacentral:rRNA from 1 species
AUUGAACGCUGGCGGCAGGCUUAACACAUGCAAGUCGAACGAUGAAACCUAGCUUGCUAGGUGGAAUAGUGGCGGACGGGUGAGUAACACUUAGGAAUCUACCUAAUAGCGGGGGAUAGCCCGGGGAAACUCGGAAUAAUACCGCAUAUUUUCUACGGAAGAAAGGGGGCAGAAUACUGCUCUCACUAUUAGAUGAGCCUAAGCAGGAUUAGCCAGAUGGUGGGGUAACGGCCUACCAUAGCGACGAUCCUUAGCUGGUCUGAGAGGAUGAUCAGCCACACUGGGACUGAGACACGGCCCAGACUCCUACGGGAGGCAGCAGUGGGGAAUAUUGGACAAUGGGGGGAACCCUGAUCCAGCCAUGCCGCGUGUGUGAAGAAGGCCUUUUGGUUGUAAAGCACUUUAAGCAGUGAAGAAGACCUAUUGGUUAAUACCCAAUAGCGAUGACAUUAACUGCAGAAUAAGCACCGGCUAACUCUGUGCCAGCAGCCGCGGUAAUACAGAGGGUGCAAGCGUUAAUCGGAAUUACUGGGCGUAAAGCGAACGUAGGUGGUUAAAUAAGUCAGAUGUGAAAUCCCCGAGCUUAACUUGGGAACUGCAUCUGAAACUGUAUAACUAGAGUAGGUGAGAGGAAAGUAGAAUUCCAGGUGUAGCGGUGAAAUGCGUAGAGAUCUGGAGGAAUACCGAUGGCGAAGGCAGCUUUCUGGCAUCAUACUGACACUGAGGUUCGAAAGCGUGGGUAGCAAACAGG